rnacentral:rRNA from 1 species
AGAGUUUGAUCAUGGCUCAGGAUGAACGCUGGCGGCGUGCCUAACACAUGCAAGUCGAGCGAUUUACUUCGGUAAAGAGCGGCGGACGGGUGAGUAACGCGUGGGUAACCUGCCCUGUACACACGAAUAACAUACCGAAAGGUAUGCUAAUACGAGAUAAUAUACUUUUAUCGCAUGGUAGAAGUAUCAAAGCUUUUGCGGUACAGGAUGGACCCGCGUCUGAUUAGCUAGUUGGUAAGGUGAUGGCUUACCAAGGCGACGAUCAGUAGCCGACCUGAGAGGGUGAUCGGCCACAUUGGAACUGAGACACGGUCCAAACUCCUACGGGAGGCAGCAGUGGGGAAUAUUGCACAAUGGGUGAAAGCCUGAUGCAGCAACGCCGCGUGAGCGAUGAAGGCCUUCGGGUCGUAAAGCUCUGUCCUCAAGGAAGAUAAUGACGGUACUUGAGGAGGAAGCCCCGGCUAACUACGUGCCAGCAGCCGCGGUAAUACGUAGGGGGCUAGCGUUAUCCGGAAUUACUGGGCGUAAAGGGUGCGUAGGUGGUUUCUUAAGUCAGAGGUGAAAGGCUACGGCUCAACCGUAGUAAGCCUUUGAAGCUGGGAAACUUAAGUGCAGGAGAGGAGAGUGGAAUUCCUAGUGUAGCGGUGAAAUGCGUAGAUAUUAGGAGGAACACCAGUUGCGAAGGCGGCUCUCUGGACUGUAACUGACACUGAGGCACGAAAGCGUGGGGAGCAAACAGGAUUAGAUACCCUGGUAGUCCACGCCGUAAACGAUGAGUACUAGCUGUCGGAGGUUACCACCUUCGGUGGCGCAGCU